rnacentral:rRNA from 1 species
CCUUACCAGGUCUUGACAUCCCUUGACAACUCCAGAGAUGGAGCGUUCCCUUCGGGGACAAGGUGACAGGUGGUGCAUGGUUGUCGUCAGCUCGUGUCGUGAGAUGUUGGGUUAAGUCCCGCAACGAGCGCAACCCUUAUUACUAGUUGCCAGCAUUUAGUUGGGCACUCUAGUGAGACUGCCGGUGACAAACCGGAGGAAGGUGGGGAUGACGUCAAAUCAUCAUGCCCCUUAUGACCUGGGCUACACACGUGCUACAAUGGCGUAUACAACGAGUUGCCAACCCGCGAGGGUGAGCUAAUCUCUUAAAGUACGUCUCAGUUCGGAUUGUAGGCUGCAACUCGCCUACAUGAAGUCGGAAUCGCUAGUAAUCGCGGAUCAGCACGCCGCGGUGAAUACGUUCCCGGGUCUUGUACACACCGCCCGUCACACCAUGAGAGUUUGUAACACCCAAAGCCGGUGGGGUAACCUUUUAGGAGCCAGCCGUCUAAGGUGGGACAGAUGAUUAGGGUGAAGUCGUAACAAGGUAGGCGUAGCGAG